GGAGGCCUUAGCUUAAUUAAAGUGUCUGAGUUGCAAUCAGAAGAUGUGGUUGUGAUCACAGGUCUUCA
rnacentral:tRNA from 1 species